GACGAACGCUGGCGGCGUGCUUAACACAUGCAAGUCGAACGAAGAGCGAUGGAAGCUUGCUUCUAUCAAUCUUAGUGGCGAACGGGUGAGUAACGCGUAAUCAACCUGCCCUUCAGAGGGGGACAACAGUUGGAAACGACUGCUAAUACCGCAUACGAUCUAACCUCGGCAUCGAGGAUAGAUGAAAGGUGGCCUCUACAUGUAAGCUAUCACUGAAGGAGGGGAUUGCGUCUGAGUAGCUAGUUGGAGGGGUAACGGCCCACCAAGGCGAUGAUCAGUAGCCGGUCUGAGAGGAUGAACGGCCACAUUGGGACUGAGACACGGCCCAGACUCCUACGGGAGGCAGCAGUGGGGAAUCUUCCGCAAUGGACGAAAGUCUGACGGAGCAACGCCGCGUGAGUGAUGACGGCCUUCGGGUUGGAAAGCUCUGUUAAUCGGGACGAAAGGCCUUCUUGCGAAUAGUGAGAAGGAUUGACGGUACCGGAAUAGAAAGCCACGGCUAACUACGUG
rnacentral:rRNA from 1 species